rnacentral:tRNA from 1 species
GGCUCAGUCAGUGGAGCAUGAGACUCUUGAUCUCAGUGUUGUGGGUUCAAGACCCAC